rnacentral:rRNA from 1 species
GACGAACGCUGGCGGCGUGCUUAACACAUGCAAGUCGAACGAAGUGGCGAACGGGUGAGUAACGCGUAAUCAACCUGCCCUUCAGAGGGGGACAACAGUUGGAAACGACUGCUAAUACCGCAUAUGGAGGGAGGGGUUUGCGUUGGAUUAGCUAGUGGGAGGGGUAACGGCCACCCAGGGCGAUGUUCAGUAGCCGGUCGUGGAGGAUGAACAGCCACAUUGGGACUGAGACACGGCCCAGACUCCUACGGGAGGCAGCAGUGGGGAAUCUUCCGAAAUGGACGAAAGUCUGACGGAGCAACGCCGCGUGAGUGAUGACGGCCUUCGGGUUGUAAAGCUCUGUUAAUCGGGACGCGGUACCGGAAUAGAAAGCCACGGCUAACUACGUGCCAGCAGCCGCGGUAAUAC